AGUGAACGCUGGCGGUAGGCCUAACACAUGCAAGUCGAACGGCAGCACAGUAAGAGCUUGCUCUUACGGGUGGCGAGUGGCGGACGGGUGAGGAAUACAUCGGAAUCUACUUUUUCGUGGGGGAUAACGUAGGGAAACUUACGCUAAUACCGCAUACGACCUACGGGUGAAAGCAGGGGAUCUUCGGACCUUGCGCGAUUGAAUGAGCCGAUGUCGGAUUAGCUAGUUGGCAGGGUACAGGCCCACCAAGGCGACGAUCAGUAGCUGGUCUGAGAGGAUGAUCAGCCACACUGGAACUGAGACACGGUCCAGACUCCUACGGGAGGCAGAAGUGGGGAAUAUUGGAAAAUGGGCGCAAGACUGAUCCAGCCAUACCGGGUGGGUGAAGAAGGCCUUCGGGUUGUAAAGCCCUUUUGUUGGGAAAGAAAAGCAGCAGGUUAAUACCCCGCUGUUCUGACGGUACCCAAAGAAUAAGCACCGGCUAACUUCGU
rnacentral:rRNA from 1 species